rnacentral:misc_RNA from 1 species
AACGCACAUUGCGCCCGCUAGUAUUCUAGCGGGCAUGCCUGUUCGAGCGUCAUUUCGACCCUUAAGCCUAGUUGCUUAGUGUUGGGAGCCCUGGUCUUCGGGCCAGGCUCCUUAAAUCUAGUGGCGGAGUCGUUGCACACUCUGAGCGUAGUAAUUCUUUAUCUCGCUUUUGUAGUUGCCUCGGCCUCAGCCGUAAAACACCCCCUUUCUGAAAUUUGACCUCGGAUCAGGUAGGAAUACCCGCUGAACUUAA